rnacentral:rRNA from 1 species
UGCCAGCAGCCGCGGUAAUACGGAGGGUGCAAGCGUUGUUCGGAAUUACUGGGCGUAAAGCGAGUGUAGGCGGCUUGGUAAGUCGGAUGUGAAAUCCCUGGGCUUAACCCAGGAAGUGCAUCCGAUACUGCCCGGCUUGAGUCUCGGAGAGGGAAGCGGAAUUCCCGGUGGAGAGGUGAAAUUCGUAGAUAUCGGGAGGAACAUCAGUGGCGAAGGCGGCUUCCUGGACGAUGACUGACGCUCAGACUCGAAAGCGCCGGCAGCAAACAGGAUCAGAUA